AUGAGUCCUCCUGAUGGCAUCAACAUCCUCGAUGGCAAGUUCUACCUAGGAGAUGCUGGCUAUGCAUGUCGGCCAGGUGUUCUUCCACCCUUCAGGAAAACCAGGUACCAUCUGGAUGAGUUUGCUGGUAGGAACUAUCCUAGGACUCCACGGGAGCUGUUUAAUCUCAGACACUCCAGCCUUAGAGUUACUGUUGAGAGGGCAUUUGGAGCUCUGAAGAACAGGUUUAAGAUCCUAAAUCAGAAGCCAUUCCACACUUUCCCCACCCAGGUUAAGCUUGUGCUUGCUUGUUGCAUUCUGCAUAACUGGAUCCUGCAAUGGGGUUGUGAUGAACUAGUGUCUGAGGAGGAAGAUGUGAUGCCUGACGAUGUUGUCAACUCCGGCCAUGGUAUGGAGGCAUUUCACAAUCAAGCCUGA
rnacentral:rRNA from 1 species